rnacentral:rRNA from 9 species
UAACGAUCUGGGCACUGUCUCAGCCAUGAGCUCGGUGAAAUUGUAGUAUCGGUGAAGAUGCCGAUUACCCGCAACGGGACGGAAAGACCCCGUGAACCUUUACUAUAGCUUCACAUUGGUAUUGGGUAAUUCAUGUGUAGGAUAGGUGGGAGACUUUGAUGCUGCGUCGCUAGGCGUAGAGUAGUCGUUGUUGAAAUACCACCCUUGAAUUAUCUGAUGCCUAACCCGAUGAGGGGACAUUGUGUGGUGGGUAGUUUGACUGGGGUGGUCGCCUCCAAAAGAGUAACGGAGGCUCCUAAAGGUACCCUCAACACGUUUGGUAAUCGUGUGUAGAGUGUAAUGGCAUAAGGGUGCUUGACUGCGAGAGUGACAACUCGAGCAGGUGCGAAAGCAGGUCAUAGUGAUCCGGUGGUUCUGAAUGGAAGGGCCAUCGCUCAAAGGAUAAAAGGUACUCCGGGGAUAACAGGCUGAUACCGCCCAAGAGUUCAUAUCGACGGCGGUGUUUGGCACCUCGAUGUCGGCUCAUCUCAUCCUGGGGCUGGAGCAGGUCCCAAGGGUACGGCUGUUCGCCGUUUAAAGAGGUACGUGAGCUGGGUUUAGAACGUCGUGAGACAGUUCGGUCCCUAUCUGCCGUGGGCGCAGGAGAUUUGAGAAGAGUUGCUCCUAGUACGAGAGGACCGGAGUGAACGAACCUCUGGUGUUCGGGUUGUGUCGCCAGACGCAUUGCCCGGUAGCUACGUUCGGACAGGAUAACCGCUGAAAGCAUCUAAGCGGGAAGCCCCCUUCAAGACGAGAUCUCCCUGAGGACUUGAUCCUCCUAAAGUGCCGUUGAAGACGACGACGUUGAUAGGCUGGGUGUGUAAGUACAGUGAUGUAUUGAGCUAACCAGUACUAAUUGCACGUGAGGC